rnacentral:SRP_RNA from 16 species
UGGGUUCCGAACCACGUUGGUUGUCAAAAUGCAUACGCCUGCCGGAGGCAGGCAUGGGAUCCUGUUGCAUUAAAUCAGCCAUGUAUGGGUCAAGGGGGGGUAGGUGACAGCCAAAA